rnacentral:pre_miRNA from 1 species
UUUCUCCUCUUCCUCUAUCACACUUUCUCCCCUUCUUUAUUAUAAAGAAGGGGAAAAAGUGUGAUAGAGGAAGAGGAGAAA